AUGAAUAUUUUCAAUGACAUUGUCGCCAAACAAAGUCCUGCUACAGCUCGGUUGCAAGGUGAAAUAGAUAUGUACUUGGCAGAUGGCCUAGUGCCAUACACAGAAGUAUUUAGUGUGUUGGAUUGGUGGAAAGUAGCUGGAACAAGAUAUCCAACAUUAAGGAAGGUUGCCAGAGAUAUUUUUGCCAUUCCCGUGACAACAGUUGCUUCAGAGUCGGCCUUUAGUACAAGUGGCAGAAUACUUAGUGAACAUAGGAGCCGCCUAACUCCUGAUAUGGUGGAAGUUUUGAUGUGCUCCCAAGAUUGGCUUAGAAACAAAUGCAAAGGUGAGCAAAUAAUAUGCUCAUAA
rnacentral:rRNA from 1 species